rnacentral:rRNA from 1 species
UACGGGGGGGGCAAGCGUUGUUCGGAAUUACUGGGCGUAAAGGGCUCGUAGGUGGCCAACUAAGUCGGACGUGAAAUCCCUCGGCUUAACCGGGGAACUGCGUCUGAUACUGGAUGGCUUGAGUUCGGGAGAGGGAUGCGGAAUUCCAGGUGUAGCGGUGAAAUGCGUAGAUAUCAGGAGGAACACCGGUGGCGAAGGCGGUUCUCUGGGCAUGAUCUGACGCUGAGGAGCGAAAGUGUGGGGAGCGAACAGG